rnacentral:rRNA from 1 species
GACGAACGCUGGCGGCGUGCCUAACACAUGCAAGUCGAGCGAGUGGAGUUCUUCGGAACAAAGCUAGCGGCGGACGGGUGAGUAACACGUGGGCAACCUGCCUCAUAGAGGGGAAUAGCCUCCCGAAAGGGAGAUUAAUACCGCAUAAGAUUGUAGCUUCGCAUGAAGUAGCAAUUAAAGGAGCAAUCCGCUAUGAGAUGGGCCCGCGGCGCAUUAGCUAGUUGGUGAGGUAACGGCUCACCAAGGCGACGAUGCGUAGCCGACCUGAGAGGGUCCUAGGCCGCAUCUCGACUGAGACACGGCCCAGACACCCACGCAAGGCAGCAGUGGGGACCAGUGCCUAGUGGCCGAUAAUAUUAUGCAGCAACGACGCGUGAGUGAUGACGACGUGCGAGUCGGAAAGAACUGUCUCGAGGUGCGAUAAUGACGGUACCUGAGGAGCAAGCAACGGCUAAGGAGGUGCAAGCCGCGGCGGUACAAC